AGAGUUCGAUUCUGGCUCAGGAUGAACGCUGGCGGCGUGCUUAACACAUGCAAGUCGAGCGAAGCACUUUUGACAGAAGCCUUCGGGUGGAAGAUGAGAGUGACUGAGCGGCGGACGGGUGGGUAACGCGUGGAUAACCUGCCUCACACAGGGGGAUAACAGUUAGAAAUGACUGCUAAUACCGCAUAAGCGCACAGUACCGCAUGGUACGGUGUGAAAAACUCCGGUGGUGUGAGAUGGAUCCGCGUCUGAUUAGCUAGUUGGUGAGGUAACGGCCCACCAAGGCAACGAUCAGUAGCCGACUUGAGAGAGUGACCGGCCACAUUGGGACUGAGACACGGCCCAG
rnacentral:rRNA from 1 species